GGUUUGACGGUACCUUUAAAGGAAGCAUCGGCUAACUCCGUGCCAGCAGCCGCGGUAAUACGGGGGGUGCAAGCGUUGUUCGGAAUUAUUGGGCGUAAAGCGCGUGUAGGCGGUCUGAUUAGUCUGAUGUGAAAGCCCUGGGCUCAACCCAGGAAGUGCAUUGGAUACUGUCAGACUUGAAUACGGGAGAGGGUAGUGGAAUUCCUAGUGUAGGAGUGAAAUCCGUAGAUAUUAGGAGGAACACCGGUGGCGAAGGCGGCUACCUGGACCGAUAUUGACGCUGAGACGCGAAAGCGUGGGUAGCAAACAGGAUUAGAUACCCUGGUAGUCCACGCCGUAAACGAUGAGAACUAGGUGUCGCGGGUA
rnacentral:rRNA from 1 species